GCGGAUUUAGCUCAGUUGGGAGAGCGCCAGACUGAAGUCACUUUCGAGUAACCUGUAAUCUGGAGGUCCUGUGUUCGAUCCACAGAAUUCGCA
rnacentral:tRNA from 1 species